rnacentral:rRNA from 1 species
GAUGAACGCUGGCGACGUGCCUAAUACAUGCAAGUCGAGCGAACGGACGAGAAGCUUGCUUCUCUGAUGUUAGCGGCGGACGGGUGAGUAACACGUGGAUAACCUACCUAUAAGACUGGGAUAACUUCGGGAAACCGUAGCUAAUACCGGAUAAUAUUUUGAACCGCAUGGUUCAAAAGUGAAAGACGGUCUUGCUGUCACUUAUAGAUGGAUCCGCGCUGCAUUAGAUAGUUGGUAAGGUAACGGCUUACCAAGGCAACGAUGCAUAGCCGACCUGAGAGGGUGAUCGGCCACACUGGAACUGAGACACGGUCCAGACUCCUACGGGAGGCAGCAGUAGGGAAUCUUCCGCAAUGGGCGAAAGCCUGACGGAGCAACGCCGCGUGAGUGAUGAAGGUCUUCGGAUCGUAAAACUCUGUUAUUAGGGAAGAACAUAUGUGUAAGUAACUGUGCACAUCUUGACGGUACCUAAUCAGAAAGCCACGGCUAACUACGUG